rnacentral:rRNA from 1 species
UGGGGAAUAUUGCGCAAUGGACGAAAGUCUGACGCAGCGACGCCGCGUGAGGGAUGAAGGCCUUCGGGUUGUAAACCUCUGUCAGGAGGGAAGAACCGCCAUGGUAGUAACUGCCCAUGGUCUGACGGUACCUCCAAAGGAAGCACCGGCUAACUCCGUGCCAGCAGCCGCGGUAAUACGGAGGGUGCAAGCGUUAAUCGGAAUCACUGGGCGUAAAGCGCGCGUAGGCGGCUUUGUAAGUCAGAGGUGAAAGCCCACGGCUCAACCGUGGAACUGCCUUUGAUACUGCAAGGCUACGAGUUUGUGAGAGGAUAGUGGAAUUCCUGGUGUAGGAGUGAAAUCCGUAGAGAUCAGGAGGAACAUCAGUGGCGAAGGCGACUGUCUGGCACAACACUGACGCUGAGGUGCGAAAGCGUGGGUAUCAAACAGG